rnacentral:misc_RNA from 1 species
GGAAGGAUCAUUAACACGUAUCAUACGUUAAAAACCCCGUGCACGUUGAAAAAAGAAAAAAGAAAAUCAGACCUUUGAUGAGGUUCUGUUGUGUUACGCACGUCUUGUUCUCUGCUCUGUUUGAGGGCGGAAGUUGGUGUCGCGGUUGUUGAGGCGCAAGUCUCAACCUUCCAGGAGAAAUCUUGGUCGCCCGGUAACGGCGCUGGCUUCUGUUCCUCCUAUUUUGUGGGGGAUGAGCGUGUGCGACCGGCAGAGUCUUGUUGGUGGACUGUUUCUUUUUUCUACGAGUAACGGUUGUGACUGAGCGUGUUGCUAAAGAGCCCCUCUGAAAACUGCAAAGGAUGCGGUCAACACUCUGAACGCCUCUAGGAACGUUGUUGUGGGUGAGGUGGCAUGCGUGGUCUGAUCGUGAAAGUUGUGGCUCCGACGUUCGAACCAGCUUUGGACUGUUUGGUCUUCGGUGGCGCAGCUUCGGCUCGCUCAACCACCUGUGAGGGCUGAAAAGUGCUUUGUGUUCUGCGAAGCGUGGAGGUCGUUUUUUUGCAUACAGCAAUCCCGCGGGGGCAGAGAGCCACAACUGGAGGUGGACGAGACGCGAGAGGAUUUUUUGUGUGUAAGAAGGCGGCAUUCCAUUUGAAGCUGGGGAGGUGAACCAGCCCAUUUAAUUGACUAAAUUAAACCGAACUAACUUGACAAAACUUGUCCGAAAGGACUCGAAACCCGAACAACUGUUAACAAUGGAUAUCUUGGUUCUCGCAACGAUGAAGAACGCAGCGAAAUGCGAUACGUAAUGCGAAUUGCAGAAUUCAGUGAAUCAUCGAAUCUUUGAACGCAAAUGGCGCCCUUGGGUUACCCCUAAGGGCACGCCUCGCUGACUAUCGGUUUAACCCACGUAUCCUACCCUUUUGGGUGGUGAUAAUCGUUGAGUGUUAGACAGUCCCUUAACUGAGGAGUGUCUAUCACUUAAAAAUCAGUCAUUCCACUCAUUGAAUGGCUCUUGCAAGUUGAAUUCGGCUCGCCGAAUGAAGAUUUACAAGAGUCAUCCGACAGUAAUUGGACUAGAGUGAGAGGGCGCGAAAUUGGCAGCUUGGUUGCGGACUGAACAUACGUGAGCGUAGAUGGCAAAAGUUUGACUCAGAUGCGGUCGAUGCGAAAAAUGGAUUGUCGAAAGACAAACUGUUUAUUGCUGUGGCUGUGUCGACGAGAAUUUUAAAGCCCGUCUAUGCGACGCGAGUUUGGAUCGGGACUUUGCAUAAGCCGGUAUUGAGCUGUCUUUCUCCGGACUAGUUUCGGUUGGCCUUGAGGUCUAGGUUUGCUGGAAAAACAAACGAGAGGGAGGAGCUGAAGAACGAAGGCUUCGGUUGGAGUUUAUCGCUCUUCCCUUUCAAACUUUCUAAAUUAGAUGUCAGCUGAGGUGGGAAAACCCCCUGAAUUUAAGCAUAUUAUUAAGGGGAGGAAAAGAAACUAACAAGGAUUCCCCUAGUAACGGCGAGUGAAGCGGGAAGAGCUCAAGCCUGAAAUCCCUGGGUGUAACAACCUCGGGAGUUGUGGCCUAUAGACGUUCUCUCAGUGCUGUACCGGUUAUAAAUCCUUUGGAACAGGGUAUCAUAGAGGGUGAGAAUCCCGUCUUUGAGCCGGAUACAAGUGCGUACGAGGAGCGUUCUGAGAGUCGCGUUGCUUGGGAGUGCAACGCAAAUUGGGUGGUAAAGUUCAUCUAAAGCUAAAUACUGGCGAGAGACCGAUAGCGAACAAGUACCGUGAGGGAAAGAUGAAAAGAACUUUGAAAAGAGAGUUAAAAAGUACUUGAAAUUGUUAACAGGUAAGGGCAGGAAACCAGUAUAUUCUCAGGCACAUUUGCGGUCGCCUUACGGUUGCUGUUACUUGUGUUUGGGAGAGUCAUCGUCACUUAGAAUCUUUGGAGAAAGCGUAUAGAUUGGUGCCUUCCUUCGGGUUGGUUUAGUCCGUACGUCCUACAUUGGCUCUGAGUGAGGACGAGAACCCGCACGCUUCGGCGUACGGCGCUCUGUUGUCUGUCUGCCCAAGCGCGUGAGAGAGCAAAGCUCUGUCUGUGCAAAAGGUGAACACUACGGCGGAUGCGCUAGUUGCUGGGUUCGCGACGAUGACGAAAUGGUUUUCUUCCACCCGUCUUGAAACACGGACCAAGGAGUCUAACAUAUAUGCGAGUAUUUGGGUGAAAAACCCUGAUGCGCAAUGAAAGUAAAGGGGGGCAACCUCUGAGGUGGGAAUCGAUCCUUCGGGAGAGAGGCACCAUCGACCGAUCGUUCGCUUGCGAAAGAUUUGAGUAAUAGCAUAUCUGUUGGGACCCGAAAGAUGGUGAUCUAUGCCUGAACAGGGUGAAGCCAGGGGAAACUCUGGUGGAAGCUCGUAGCGAUACUGACGUGCAAAUCGUUCGUCUGAUUUGGGUAUAGGGGCGAAAGACUAAUCGAACCAUCUAGUAGCUGGUUCCCUC